rnacentral:rRNA from 1 species
UACGUAGGGGCUAGCGUUGUCCGGAUUUAUUGGGCGUAAAGAGCGUGUAGGCGGCCAAGUAGGUCCGGUGUGAAACUCGAGGCUUAACCUCGAGAUGUCAUCGGAAACCAUUUGGCUAGAGUCCGGAAGAGGAAAGUGGAAUUCCUGGUGUAGCGGUGAAAUGCGCAGAUAUCAAGAGGAACACCGUGAGGUGAAGACGGGUUGCUGGGCUGACACUGACGCUGAUAGCGCGAAAGCCAGGGAGCAAACGGG